rnacentral:rRNA from 1 species
AGCGAACGCUGGCGGCAGGCCUAACACAUGCAAGUCGAACGAACUCUUCGGAGUUAGUGGCGGACGGGGGAGUAACACGUGGGAACGUGCCUUUUGGUUCGGAAUAACUCAGGGAAACUUGUGCUAAUACCGAAUGUGCCCUUCGGGGGAAAGAUUUAUCGCCAUUAGAGCGGCCCGCGUCUGAUUAGCUAGUUGGUGAGGUAACGGCUCACCAAGGCGACGAUCAGUAGCUGGUCUGAGAGGAUGACCAGCCACACUGGGACUGAGACACGGCCCAGACUCCUACGGGAGGCAGCAGUGGGGAAUCUUGCGCAAUGGGCGAAAGCCUGACGCAGCCAUGCCGCGUGAAUGAUGAAGGUCUUAGGAUUGUAAAAUUCUUUCAACGGGGACGAUAAUGACGGUACCCGGAGAAGAAGCCCCGGCUAACUUCGUG